UACGGGGGGGGCAAGCGUUGUUCGGAAUUACUGGGCGUAAAGGGCUCGUAGGUGGCCAACUAAGUCAUACGUGAAAUCCCUCAGCUUAACUGGGGAACUGCGUCUGAUACUGGAUGGCUUGAGUUUGGGAGAGGGAUGCGGAAUUCCAGGUGUAGCGGUGAAAUGCGUAGAUAUCGGGAGGAACACCAGUGGCGAAGGCGGAGACCUGGGCCAAUACUGACGCUGAGGUGCGAAAGCGUGGGGAGCAAACAGG
rnacentral:rRNA from 1 species